rnacentral:rRNA from 1 species
CCUACGGGAGACAGCAGUGAGGAAUAUUGGUCAAUGGCCGGAAGUCUGAACCAGCCAAGCCGCGUGAAGGACGAAGGUGCCAAGCAUUGUAAACUUCUUUUGUCAAGGGACAAAAUCCGGCCCGUGAGCCUGACCGCGCGUACCUGACGAAAAAGCAUCGGCUAACUCCGUGCCAGCAGCCGCGGUAAUACGGAGGAUGCGAGCGUUAUCCGGAUUUAUUGGGUUUAAGGGGUGCGUAGGCGGGCUGUUAAGUCAGCGGUAAAAGCCCGGGGCUCAACCCCGGCAAGCCGUUGAAACUGGCGGGGUUGAGAGGACGAGGGGUAGGCGGAAUGCGCGGUGGAGCGGUGAAAUGCUUAGAUAUUGCGCAGAACUCCGAUUGCGAAGGCAGCAUACCGGCGGAGAUCUGACGCUGAGGCACGAAAGCGUGGGUAUCGAACAGGAUUAGAUACCCCAGUAGUC